rnacentral:lncRNA from 1 species
AAUCUCACCUCGAGCUGGGUUGGGAAUGUCUCUGCAACUCUUCCUGCCCUGCCUUGCAGCUGCCUGUGUGGACGACACCAAACGGACAUGCUUAUCUGAGGGAGCACCAGAGAAUCGGAGCACCUCCACCUCUCCUUGAUGAUCCUGUCUUGUCAGUUUCCCCAAGAAAGAGCAUUCCUGUAUCCACGCUGUGUGACGAGGGUGACUCGGCAUGGAAAGGGGAUGGAAUGGAGGAUUAGGAGUUAACACAGCAGUAAGAUCACAGACUGGUCUCGCUGAUCCCAUAGGUUUGACCUCAUCUGCUACACAUGUGUAAAAUCAAUCCGUAAACUCAAAGUGGGAAGGGAAGACGAGGAGGUAGCGCGAAUAUGACCCAGUGCCCUGAAAUCAACAUGCACCUGAUUAACUAUGUGCUUGGACUGGAAGCUUCCAGCAGAAGAAAACAUCUACACUUGGCUUUCUGUCUUUGAUGUUUCAAAAUUGCUUCUUGUCACUUGGAGGAAAAGUGGCAAGUGCUUUUCCUCCUACUGUAAGAUGGGGCCCAUUAAACAUUUUUCAUAUAACAAAGUUAUAUAAAGUAUAUAAAGUAAUUCAGAGAGAAUAUUAAUAUAGCUAUACGUGGGAACUCUGUUUUACACUUAUCUGGUAUUUUGUUCUUUCAUUGAAAAAGUUUAUUGUGCACUCAAAUUGUUAAGAAUAAUAAAACCUAAAACCUAAAAACUAUUUAUUUGGCCUGCUAGGUUCUUAGAUGUGGGUAGAAGCCUCACUAGUCAGUGUUCC